GGCCAGACUCCUACGGGAGGCAGCAGUGGGGGAUAUUGCACAAUGGGGGAAACCCUGAUGCAGCGACGCCGCGUGGGCGAAGAAGUAUUUCGGUAUGUAAAGCCCUAUCAGCAGGGAAGAAGAAAUGACGGUACCUGAGUAAGAAGCACCGGCUAAAUACGUGCCAGCAGCCGCGGUAAUACGUAUGGUGCAAGCGUUAUCCGGAUUUACUGGGUGCAAAGGGAGCGCAGACGGCAGUGCAAGUCUGGAGUGAAAGCCCGGGGCCCAACCCCGGAACUGCUCUGGAAACUGUGCGGCUAGAGUACUGGAGGGGCAGGCGGAAUUCCUAGUGUAGCGGUGAAAUGCGUAGAUAUUAGGAGGAACACCAGUGGCGAAGGCGGCCUGCUGGACGAUGACUGACGCUGAGGCUCGAAAGCGCGGGGAGCAAACAGGAUUAGAUACCCGAGUA
rnacentral:rRNA from 1 species